AAGCCGUGGUGUGGGCAUUGGUUAGUGUAGCUUCUAAACCGUUCCCAAGCUUCACUAAAGCUCACGUUAUUGUGCUGCGUGAAACUUGAGAUCUGAUUCCUGAGCUU
rfam:Eutrema salsugineum unplaced genomic scaffold scaffold_12, whole genome shotgun sequence.